UUCUAGACUCCUACGGGAGGCAGCAGUAGGGAAUCUUCCGCAAUGGACGCAAGUCUGACGGAGCAACGCCGCGUGAGUGAAGAAGGUCUUCGGAUCGUAAAGCUCUGUUGUUAGAGAAGAACAGCGCAUAGAGUAACUGUUGUGCGUGUGACGGUAUCUAACCAGAAAGCCACGGCUAACUACGUGCCAGCAGCCGCGGUAAUACGUAGGUGGCGAGCGUUGUCCGGAUUUAUUGGGCGUAAAGGGAGUGUAGGCGGUCUUUUAAGUCUGAUGUGAAAGCCCACGGCUCAACCGUGGAGGGUCAUUGGAAACUGGGAGACUUGAGUGCAGAAGAGGAGAGCGGAAUUCCAUGUGUAGCGGUGAAAUGCGUAGAUAUAUGGAGGAACACCAGUGGCGAAGGCGGCUCUCUGGUCUGUAACUGACGCUGAGGCUCGAAAGCGUGGGGAGCAAACAGGAUUAGAUACCCUGGUAGUCCACGCCGUAAACGAUGAGUGCUAAGUGUUGGAGGGGUUCCACCCUUCAGUGCUGGAGUUAACGCAAUAAGCACUCCGCCUGGGGAGUACGGCCGCAAGGCUGAAACUCAAAGGAAUUGACGGGGGCCCGCACAAG
rnacentral:rRNA from 1 species